CUAAUCAAUCCAAAAGGAAAAAGAAAAGAGAGGGGUGGGAAGGCAUGGGGUGAAAAACUUCAGGUGACACAAAGCAAAAAGAUUCCAGUCACCAAAAACAAAAACAAAAAAAAAUCUUUUGCCCCCAGCAAGAAUCAUUUGUUUGGGAUCUGUUCCAGCCUCCAGGCCCUGCCUUCUGCCUGCACAUUCUGCCCUGAUUUCCGGAACCUGGAAGCCUAGGCAGGCAGUGGGGAACUCUGACUCGCCUGUGCUCUGGAGCUUGAUCCGAAAGCUUCCACAGUGAGGACUGCUCCGUGGGGUCCUGCUCCGCUUCGCAGUGGAAUGGAACGGAUUUAGAAGCCUGCAGUAGGGGAGUGGGGAGUGGAGAGAGGGAGCCCAGAGUUACAGACGGCGGCGAGAGGAGGGGCGUCUUUAUUUUUUUAAGGCCCCAAAGAGUCUGAUGUUUACAAGACCAGAAAUGCCACGGCCGCGUCCUGGCAGAGAAAAGGCUGAAAUGGAGGACCGGCGCCUUCCUUAUAAGCUCGUUGGGGCCUAAGCCAGUACCGACCUGGUAGAAAAAGCAACCACGAAGCUAGAGAGAGAGCCAGAGGAGGGAAGAGAGCGCCAGACGAAGGUGAAAGCGAACCACGCAGAGAAAUGCAGGCAAGGGAGCAAGGCGGCAGUUCCCGGAACAAACGUGGCAGAGGGCAAGACGGGCACUCACAGACAGAGGUUUAUGUAUUUUUAUUUUUUAAAAUCUGAUUUGGUGUUCCAUGAGGAAAAGGGAAAAUCUAGGGAACGGGAGUACAGAGAGAAUAAUCCGGGUCCUAGCUCGCCACAUGAACGCCCAGAGAACGCUGGAAAAACCUGAGCGGGUGCCGGGGCAGCACCCGGCUCGGGUCAGCCACUGCCCCACACCGGGCCCACCAAGCCCCGCCCCUCGCGGCCACCGGGGCUUCCUUGCUCUUCUUAUCAUCUCCAUCUUUAUGAUGAGGCUUGUUAACAAGACCAGAGAGCUGGCCAAGCACCUCUAUCUCAGCCGCGCCCGCUCAGCCGAGCAGCGGUCGGUGGGGGGACUGGGAGGCGCUAAUUAAUUGAUUCCUUUGGACUGUAAAAUAUGGCGGCGUCUACACGGAACCCAUGGACUCAUAAACAAUAUAUCUGUUGGGCGUGAGUGCACUGUCUCUCAAAUAAUUUUUCCAUAGGCAAAUGUCAGAGGGUUCUGGAUUUUUAGUUGCUAAGGAAAGAUCCAAAUGGGACCAAUUUUAGGAGGCCCAAACAGAGUCCGUUCAGUGUCAGAAAAUGCUUCCCCAAAGGGGUUGGGAGUGUGUUUUGUUGGAAAAAAGCUUGGGUUAUAGGAAAGCCUUUCCCUGCUACUUGUGUAGACCCAGCCCAAUUUAAGAAUUACAAGGAAGCGAAGGGGUUGUGUAGGCCGGAAGCCUCUCUGUCCCGGCUGGAUGCAGGGGACUUGAGCUGCUCCGGAAUUUGAGAGGAACAUAGAAGCAAAGGUCCAGCCUUUGCUUCGUGCUGAUUCCUAGACUUAAGAUUCAAAAACAAAUUUUUAAAAGUGAAACCAGCCCUAGCCUUUGGAAGCUCUUGAAGGUUCAGCACCCACCCAGGAAUCCACCUGCCUGUUACACGCCUCUCCAAGACACAGUGGCACCGCUUUUCUAACUGGCAGCACAGAGCAACUCUAUAAUAUGCUUAUAUUAGGUCUAGAAGAAUGCAUCUUGAGACACAUGGGUAACCUAAUUAUAUAAUGCUUGUUCCAUACAGGAGUGAUUAUGCAGUGGGACCCUGCUGCAAACGGGACUUUGCACUCUAAAUAUAGACCCCAGCUUGGGACAAAAGUUGCAGUAGAAAAAUAGACAUAGGAGAACACUUAAAUAAGUGAUGCAUGUAGACACAGAAGGGGUAUUUAAAAGACAGAAAUAAUAGAAGUACAGAAGAACAGAAAAAAAAUCAGCAGAUGGAGAUUACCAUUCCCAAUGCCUGAACUUCCUCCUGCUAUUAAGAUUGCUAGAGAAUUGUGUCUUAAACAGUUCAUGAACCCAGAAGAAUGCAAUUUCAAUGUAUUUAGUACACACACAGUAUGUAUAUAAACACAACUCACAGAAUAUAUUUUCCAUACAUUGGGUAGGUAUGCACUUUGUGUAUAUAUAAUAAUGUAUUUUCCAUGCAGUUUUAAAAUGUAGAUAUAUUAAUAUCUGGAUGCAUUUUCUGUGCACUGGUUUUAUAUGCCUUAUGGAGUAUAUACUCACAUGUAGCUAAAUAGACUCAGGACUGCACAUUCCUUGUGUAGGUUGUGUGUGUGUGGUGGUUUUAUGCAUAAAUAAAGUUUUACAUGUGGUGAAUAUA
rnacentral:lncRNA from 1 species